CCUACGGGAGGCAGCAGUGAGGAAUAUUGGUCAAUGGGCGGAAGCCUGAACCAGCCAAGUAGCGUGCAGGAUGACGGCUCUACGGGUUGUAAACUGCUUGUAUACGGGAAUAACGCGCCUUACGUGUAGGGCUUUGCAUGUACCGUAUGAAUAAGGAUCGGCUAAUUCCGUGCCAGCAGCCGCGGUAAUAAGGAAGGUCCGGGCGUUAUCCGGAUUUAUUGGGUUUAAAGGGGGCGUAGGCAGCAUGUUAAGCGUGCUGUGAAAUGUUGGGGCUCAACCCGGGCCUUGCAGCGCGAACUGGCGUGCUUGAGUCCGCGGAAAGCAGGCGGAAUUCGUCGUGUAGCGGUGAAAUGCUUAGAUAUGACGCAGAACCCCGAUUGCGAAGGCAGCUUGCU
rnacentral:rRNA from 1 species